rnacentral:rRNA from 1 species
AUUGAACGCUAGCGGGAUGCCUUACACAUGCAAGUCGAACGGAGUGGCGAACGGGUGAGUAAUGUAUCGGAACGUGCCCAGUAGCGGGGGAUAACUACGCGAAAGCGUAGCUAAUACCGCAUACUAUUGGAGCGGCCGUGUUCGGAGUAGCUAGGUGGUGGGGUAACGGCUCACCAAGGCGACGAUCCGUAGCUGGUUUGAGAGGAAGACCAGUCAAACUGGAACUGAGACACGGCCCAGACUCCUAGGGUAGGCAGCAGUGGGGAAUAUUGGACAAUGGGGGAAACCCUGAUCCAGCCAUCCCGCGUGUGUGAUGAAGGCCUUCGGGUUGUAAAGCACUUUAGGCAGGAAGGCGUUACCUGCAGAAUAAGCACCGGCUAACUACGUGCCAGCAGCCGCGGUAAUUC